rnacentral:rRNA from 1 species
GAUGAACGCUGGCGGCGUGCCUAAUACAUGCAAGUCGAGCGAACGGACGAGAAGCUUGCUUCUCUGAUGUUAGCGGCGGACGGGUGAGUAACACGUGGAUAACCUACCUAUAAGACUGGUAUAACUUCGGGAAACCGUAGCUAAUACCGGAUAAUAUUUUGAACCGCAUGGUUCAAAAGUGAAAGACGGUCUUGCUGUCACUUAUAGAUGGAUCCGCGCUGCAUUAGCUAGUUGGUAAGGUAACGGCUUACCAAGGCAACGAUGCAUAGCCGACCUGAGAGGGUGAUCGGCGACACUGGAAGUGAGACACGGUCCAGACUCCUACGGGAGGCAGCAGUAGGGAAUCUUCCGCAAUGGGCGAAAGCCUGACGGAGCAACGCCGCGUGAGUGAUGGCGGUCUUCGGAGCGGAAAACUCUGUUAUUAGGGAAGAACAUAUGUGUAAGUAACUGUGCACAGCUUGACGGUACCUAAUCAGAAAGCCACGGCUAACUACGUG